AACGAACGCUGGCGGCAUGCCUAACACAUGCAAGUCGAACGCCUGUAGCAAUACAGGAGUGGCGCACGGGUGAGUAACGCGUGGGAACCUGCCCUGGAGUGGGGGAUAACCGAGAGAAAUUUCGGCUAAUACCGCAUACGUCCUGAGGGAGAAAGAUUUAUCGCUCUAGGAGGGGCCCGCGUCGGAUUAGCUAGUUGGUGGGGUAACGGCCUACCAAGGCAACGAUCCGUAGCNGGUCUGAGAGGAUGAUCAGCCACACUGGGACUGAGACACGGCCCAGACUCCUACGGGAGGCAGCAGUGGGGAAUAUUGGGCAAUGGGGGAAACCCUGAUCCAGCAAUGCCGCGUGAGUGAUGAAGGCCUUAGGGUUGUAAAGCUCUUUCGGCGGGGACGAUGAUGACGGUACCCGCAGAAGAAGCCCCGGCUAACUUCGUGCCA
rnacentral:rRNA from 1 species